rnacentral:ncRNA from 56 species
UACCUGGUUGAUCCUGCCAGUAGU